GUGUGCUGUGAGAGCGUAUGUGUGCUCUGCCUCAGAGCAGCUGUGUCUGUCACCUGUGUGCUUUGGCCGGCUAGUGUGCUUCCAGGGAGCAUAUGGAUGCUAACCUGAUGUGUGCGAGUGUUCACAACUAACGUUUCAUCGAGGUCCCUGCAGGACUUUCCUUGGCAAGUACAAGAUGGUCAGAGUCCUUGUCCUGGUGGGGCAGGAGCUGAAGACAAGGGACAGACAAUUGCCAGUCAUCUGGGAACUGCUCUAAUCAGUUUGUCUUCGAUGGCUCCCCUGGCUUCCUGGAGCCCACGUGGUCAGGCAACAGCAUGCGGCGGAUGGGAGUGAGGCCUACAGCCUUCUCAGGUUGUCUCAACUGCAGCAAAGUAUCUGAGCUGGCAGAGAGGCUGAAGGCGCUGGAGGCCAAGGUGGGUGAGCAG